rnacentral:rRNA from 1 species
GAUGAACGCUGGCGGCGUGCUUAACACAUGCAAGUCGAGCGAGAAGUUUUGAAAAGAUUCUUCGGAUGAAAUUUAAAAUGGAAAGCGGCGGGCGGGUGAGUAACGCGUAGGCAACCUGCCCCAUACAAAGGGAUAGCAUUUGGAAACGAAUAUUAAUACCUUAUGAAACUUAACUAGUGCAUGCUAGGUAGGUCAAAGAUUUAUCGGUAUGGGAUGGGCCUGCGUCUGAUUAGCUAGUUGGUGAGGUAACGGCUCACCAAGGCGACGAUCAGUAGCCGACCUGAGAGGGUGAACGGCCACAUUGGAACUGAGACACGGUCCAAACUCCUACGGGAGGCAGCAGUGGGGAAUAUUGCACAAUGGGGGAAACCCUGAUGCAGCAACGCCGCGUGAACGAUGAAGGCCUUUGGGUCGUAAAGUUCUGUUCUAGGUGA